GUUUGAAGGAUUAAGAUUAUGCACUGCUUCAUCGGCAGCUUGUAAAAAGCAUUAGCUUGUUUGCAGGAGCUGUUUAUGUUGCAAGGGAAAUGGCUGCUUUUGAUGCCUCAAUAGACGUUCCAAGUCCAUAGCCCAUAGCCGGUAUAUCUUUGUGCUUAGAUUUACAGAUAGCUGACUGCAUUUCAGAAGAAACUUUGUGCUCUGUAGUCAUGUCCUUCAAGAUGAUCGGUCUUCAAGAUUGCUUUGUACACAUACAUACAGACCAAGUCCUCGUGUUUUUGUAUAUUUGUUGUGAACAUUAUCUGUCAUAGAUUAAUGUGUAUGAUGGAAUAAAUGAUAUCCUUAAAUA
rnacentral:lncRNA from 1 species